UACGAAGGGGGCUAGCGUUGCUCGGAAUCACUGGGCGUAAAGGGCGCGUAGGCGGCCAUUCAAGUCGGAGGUGAAAGCCCAGGGCUCAACCCUGGAAUUGCCUCGAUACUGUCUGGCUAGAGACCGGAAGAGGUAAGUGGAACUGCGAGUGUAGAGGUGAAAUUCGUAGAUAUUCGCAAGAACACCAGUGGCGAAGGCGGCUUACUGGUCCGGUUCUGACGCUGAGGCGCGAAAGCGUGGGGAGCAAACAGG
rnacentral:rRNA from 1 species